UUUUUUCUAGACUAAUUAAAAGGAUAAAAUUCUCUUAUUUGAAUAAUAAGAGAAUUAAAGAGCUUAUUAAACAAAAACAGCUGCUGACAAAGUGUAGCAAAGACUGACUAGACUGGCCAGAAUUUCCUCUUCUUCCAGGACAGAUGGUUCGUAAAUGAUGUUUUAAGCCUUCCUUGUAAUGGCCGAGUGACUGGGUUCUAGCUAGUGGAAUGUGAGUGGAAGCCUUUCACCUUAGAAAAGACACACAAUUCUGCAUUUCCCCUUCCAUGCCGUGGUGUAAACAUGUAUGGUGACUUUGGAAGCCACAUUUUGACGAUGGUGGAGCCUCAAGAUGAAAAGAGCCUAGAUUCCUGAAUCACCAGGUGGAGGAAUGUUGCCAGUCCAUCAGUAACAUAUUUUGGACUUUAUCAGAGCAAUAAGUAAAAUACUCUACUUUUAGAGCCAUUAUACAUUUAAUUUUUAAAUUUUCAUUGCAGUUGAUGUUGCCUGAGCCUAUAUAGAAAUUGGUACCUUGAAAAGUGGAGGUUUCUGAACAAAAAACCUUUAAGAUGUGGAAAGUGGAUCAUCCUGUGACUGUUUUCAUGGUACUCUGGAGGUUCCCUGCUGGUCCCACUGGAAGUUCUCUGCAGGCCAGAGGUGAAAGAGGUAGAGGCAUCAGGUCUUCAUCAAAAGCAGGAAGAAGUGGGAAGAGUUGGUGUCAGUCACGUAUAUGCUUUUGUCAAGAAAGUUCAAGUGUUCUACAACCACCCCCUACGCUACUGAGACCUCUGUGUGUUUGCAUCUUACUUAUCAGGAUGGUGUCGCAAGGCCACAACCACUAGCUGUAAGGGAGGUUGGGAAAGCCUCUCUGGUGGAGUUGGAUUAAUACCCACUGGGAUCACCACCAGAAGAAACGAAAGAAUGAAAACAGCAGCUACUAAUGCCAGGAGGACAGAGCCCAAAUAAGAAGAAACUCCAUGUAGAGUGAUAGCUGCAGGAUGCUCUUUUUACCUUCCAUCUAUGGGAUUUGGUCAGCCUUACAAGUAAGUGGGUACCAAGUGGUAACUACAUGAAAGAGGGUAGAGAACAAAUAGAAAAUUGGGGUGACCAAUAAUGCUUAAAAUGUUACAUGGUGUCAGUUAUAAUUUGCAUUAAUGCUGCCUCCUAUUUAAUAUAUAUUGAUAGAAACUGCAGUAGGAGAUUCUAAAAAUGGGAUAAAAUGGAACCACAAUAUGAAAUUCUAAAAAUAGAAUUUUAAAAUGAAAUUUUAAAAAUUCUGAAAAAUGGCUCUGAGGGUGCAAUCACCAGUUUCAUGUAGUGUUAAGCACACAAGCUUUGACAAGCUAUAAGACCUGGGAAAAUGUAUCUCUCUGAGCCUUAGUUUCCUCAUGUGUGAACUGGAGAUAACAAUACUGAAUACUUACGUUAUAUGGUGCUCAACAAAGGUGGUGUGUGUAUAAUACAUAUCAUAGAACAAAGUGCUUAGGAAAUUAUAUUCUAAUAAAAUGGUAUUAUUAUUGUAAGCAUUGUAUUUUUGGUAUAUAGUACAGCUGACAUUGAUUGUAUACUAAAGGAGAGUUUAAAAGCUACAAAAUCUAUUAUAUUUUCUCCCAAAGAAAAGACUGGGGGAUAGUAAUACUCUUGGAGAGAUGAAGAAAGAGUGGGCAGAUGGAAGGUACAGGUAUGGAUUGGUGAUGAUCCUGCCCAGCCAGAGAUUUAAACAUGUAAACUUGGAGAAGAUGGGCCUGGAACUGCAAUUUGGAGGAGGAGUGCUCUUUGGUGGAGAGGAGUUGUAAAUGUCAGUGUGUGCCUAACAGUAAGAAACUGAGGAGAGAGGAUCAUAUUUGGUCUAGAAGUGUUCAAGCGAGAGAGAAGAGUGAGUGGCAGACUUGAAAACCCUCCCUGUGGAACUCAGCUAGUCUCCCUGCCUGUGCACUGUGGCGUUCUCAUUGUUCAGGUCUCAUCGUCUCUGGCUCUGACUUUCCGUUACUUGGGGUCCCUUACACUUUGGCAGACCCUCAGGUGGACUCUCACAUGAAUCCCACAUGUAUUCCAGACAUUGUUUUCUCAUAAGUCCAGUCUCUACUUUUAGUCUCUCGGGUAUUGGCCACAGUUUCUGGUCUGCCUAGAAUUUCUCAGCAUGGCUAUGCAUGUCCUCAUUAUACACAUUACUUUAGGAUGUGUAAGUGUAUAGACAUUUCACAUGCAUGGAUAUGCACAUAUACAUUAUUUUGGUGAAGGAUAUAAGGAGUUUGCAGUGUGUACCCAGUUCUCUAUUUUGAAACUGUGAGUCCUUUAAUUUAGAUGCCUUUUCUAUUAUACUAUGGAAAAUGAUGAAGUAAAACAAGUGGGAUGGAGGAGAGGAUAGGGCAGAAAAUAAGUAGGUGCAUCACAGUAAGUGAACUGAAGAGUUCCCACUUCUAUCAGUGGUCUCACAAAGAGGUGGUUUUAUUCUUAAUAAAGCAGUAUUUUAUCAUUAUAAAGAAUCAUAGAAUAUCAAGUUAUUUAAGAAAAUCUUCCUCACCUGCCAUAGAAUUCUGAGUACAAGUUCUUAUUUUCAUUCAGAUAAUUCUACUUUUUCACAAGCUGGGGGGUGGAACCCCACAAAUCAGUUUCCCUAAGUGGUUGAAGUUAAGAGAUAAAGUUUUUCUAAGAAGACAACUGGAAAUCUGUUAUGAAACUUCAGCAGAAUGAGCUAUGUCAGUGCGGGGUCCAAUUUAAUUAUUACCUCAUUUGUCUCAUGCUAAGUCUUUGCUUCCACUUUUCUUCAUACUUAGAAUGACAAUCAAUGUCUUAACUUUUCAGUUUUAAAUGAACUCCCUCUAGACACACAUCAGACUAACACAGAAAAUCAUGUACAUUAUGUAAAAGAAAUGGUCCAAAGUGAACACCCAGUGAAAAUGUGAAUUAAGACUAACCUAAUCUUAGCCUUCCACAAUAAGAUGACUCUACAUCUCUAGAAAGAUUUUUAUUCUUCUUUUUCUCCUCACCUCUUAGGUGAUUUCUUGCCCAGAUAAAAUAAAUCCUAUAAAUUUAUAGCCCUUAUUGCUAUCAAAGUUUAUUAACAUGACGAUAUGACAAAGGAAAAUUCCAACACAACAGAUUUAAAUAUCUGUACUCUGGGCACAUAAAUACUAUGGUGGCCAGCAGAAGCACAAAAGCUGCAAUGCUGUUUUGGUUUAGGAGGCUCAGUUUGAGACUAACCCUUGAGAAAAAUGGGGCACUGUUAUCAUAAUUAUUGUUGUUGUUGUUGUUGUUUGAGAUGGAGUCUCGCUCU